UUUAUUUUACUUGUACCUACCGGACUUCAACUACGGUGGGCCUUUCAUUAGCCUCUACCGGAAUAAGCCUCGUCAGUGACGUCCUGCUGCUUCACUCUGUCAACUAUGGAAGCGUCAAGCAGCAAUCUUCCACUCCUGAAGCCGUUCCACGAAACGUCUUUUCGAUGAUGCGGUGGGCUCUCAGUAUGAAGCUGUUCAUCAUAUUUUUCGACUUCUAUGAAAACAUAUUCUGCUUCUAUACCUGCACUGA